GAUGAAGAACGCAGCGAAAUGCGAUAAGUAGUGUGAAUUGCAGAAUUUAGUGAAUCAUCGAAUCUUUGAACGCACAUUGCGCCCUAUAGUAUUCUGUAGGGCAUGCCUGUUCGAGCGUUAUUGAGACCUCAAGCUCUGCUUAGAAAUGGGCGCUUGUCUUGCCUUGCAGACUCGCCUUAAAACCAUUGGCAGCUGAUUUACAAUGUUUGGUGCACAGUACAUGAGCCCAAGUGUUGCAAUGAGUGGCCCAAAAGUAUACAAUAGAAGCUUAACCUCGGAUCAGGUAGGGAUACCCGCUGAACUUAAGCAUAUCAAUAAGCGGAGGA
rnacentral:misc_RNA from 1 species